UGGGGAAUUUUGGACAAUGGGCGAAAGCCUGAUCCAGCAAUGCCGCGUGUGUGAAGAAGGCCUUCGGGUUGUAAAGCACUUUUGUCCGGAAAGAAAUCCUUGGCUCUAAUACAGUCGGGGGAUGACGGUACCGGAAGAAUAAGCACCGGCUAACUACGUGCCAGCAGCCGCGGUAAUACGUAGGGUGCAAGCGUUAAUCGGAAUUACUGGGCGUAAGCGUGCGCAGGCGGUUUGCUAAGACCGAUGUGAAAUCCCCGGGCUCAACCUGGGAACUGCAUUGGUGACUGGCAGGCUAGAGUAUGGCAGAGGGGGGUAGAAUUCCACGUGUAGCAGUGAAAUGCGUAGAGAUGUGGAGGAAUACCGAUGGCGAAGGCAGCCCCCUGG
rnacentral:rRNA from 1 species